rnacentral:rRNA from 1 species
GACGAACGCGGGGGCGUGCUUAAUACAUGCAAGUAGACCGCUGAAGAGAGGAGCUUGCUCUUCUGGGUGAGUUGCGAACGGGUGAGUAACGCGUAGGUAACCUGCCUGGUAGCGGGGGAUAACUAUGGGAAACGAUAGCUAAUACCGCAUAAGAGUAGAUGUUGCAUGACAUUUGCUUAAAAGGUGCAAUUGCAUCACUACCAGAUGGACCUGCGUUGUAUUAGCUAGUUGGUGAGGUAACGGCUCACCAAGGCAACGAUACAUAGCCGACCUGAGAGGGUGAUCGGCCACACUGGGACUGAGACACGGCCCAGACUCCUACGGGAGGCAGCAGUAGGGAAUCUUCGGCAAUGGACGGAAGUCUGACCGAGCAACGCCGCGUGAGUGAAGAAGGUUUUCGGAUCGUAAAGCUCUGUUGUAAGAGAAGAACGAGUGUGAGAGUGGAAAGUUCACACUGUGACG